rnacentral:tRNA from 1 species
CUAUAGCUCAAUUGGUAGAGCGCUUGCAUGGCAUGCAAGAGGUCAGGGGUUCAAUUCCCCUUAGCUCCA